AGUAAAAGUCGUAACAAGGUUUCCGUAGGUGAACCUGCGGAAGGAUCAUUAUCAGGUGGAGCAGGCCUCGCGCUUGCACCUCCCUCCCUGUGCACAUCGUCAACCGUUGCUCGAGCCGGUGGCCUCCGGGCCCCGGCGAGAGACCACAACCACUCUGUUCCAGAUCGUCUGAGUAAACAUACAAUAGAAUAAAACUUUCAACAACGGAUCUCUUGGUUCCGGCAUCGAUGAAGAACGCAGCGAAAUGCGAUAACUAGUGUGAAUUGCAGAUUUACGUGAAUCAUCGAGUCUUUGAACGCACAUUGCGCUCCUUGGUCUUCCAGGGAGCAUGUCUAUCCGAGCGUCGUUGCAACUCUCAAGCCUGGCUUGGUCCUGGAGUGCGUCCCGUCCGCGGGGCCCCUCCCAAACGCAACUCACGUCGUGCCAUCUCGGUCGGAGCGCAGCAGAUUUGCAGCCCCGUCCGGCGUCGUCGCGAGCCGCCCCCGUGCGGAUUCUCAAGGUUGACCUCGGAUUAGAUAAGGAUACCCGCUGAACUUAAGCAUAUCAAUAAGCGGAGGA
rnacentral:rRNA from 1 species